rnacentral:misc_RNA from 1 species
UCUCCGUUGGUGAACCAGCGGAGGGAUCAUUACUGAGUGAGGGUCUCCGGGCCCGACCUCCAACCCUUUUGUGAACCACCUCGUUGCUUCGGGGGCGACCCUGCCGUUCGGCGCGGCGCCCCCGGAGGCUCAUCAAACACUGCAUCUUUGCGUCGGAGUCUUAAUGAAUUUAAACAAAACUUUGAACAACGGAUCUCUUGGUUCUGGCAUCGAUGAAGAACGCAGC